GUAGUCGGAUUCGCAUCAAUCCACAUGAGUUGGUGUGGGUUGGAGUGGAACGUGAAAUAAAUUCCACUCCAAUCCACUCCAACACAUGUGGAUUGAGAUGAAUCCGAUA
rfam:Sorghum bicolor cultivar BTx623 chromosome 1, whole genome shotgun sequence.